AACGAACGCUGGCGGCAUGCCUAACACAUGCAAGUCGAACGAAGUCUUCGGACUUAGUGGCGCACGGGUGCGUAACGCGUGGGAAUCUGCCCUUGGGUGCGGAAUAACUUCUCGAAAGGGAUGCUAAUACCGCAUAAUGUCGUAAGACCAAAGAUUUAUCGCCCAAGGAUGAGCCCGCGUAAGAUUAGCUAGUUGGUGGGUAAAAGCCUACCAAGGCGACGAUCUUUAGCUGGUCUGAGAGGAUGAUCAGCCACACUGGGACUGAGACACGGCCCAGACUCCUACGGGAGGCAGCAGUGGGGAAUAUUGGACAAUGGGCGAAAGCCUGAUCCAGCAAUGCCGCGUGAGUGAUGAAGGCCCUAGGGUUGUAAAGCUCUUUUACCCGAGAUGAUAAUGACAGUAUCGGGAGAAUAAGCUCCGGCUAACUCCGUGCCAGCAGCCGCGGUAAU
rnacentral:rRNA from 1 species